UACGUAGGGUGCAAGCGUUAAUCGGAAUUACUGGGCGUAAAGCGUGCGCAGGCGGUUAUGUAAGACAGUUGUGAAAUCCCCGGGCUCAACCUGGGAAUUGCAUUUGUGACUGCAUAGCUAGAGUACGGGAGAGGGUACUGGAAUUCCUGGUGUAGCGGUGAAAUGCGCAGAGAUCAGGAGGAACACCGAUGGCGAAAGCAGGUACCUGGACCAUUACUGACACUCAGCUGCGAAAGCUAGGGGAGCAAACAGG
rnacentral:rRNA from 1 species